UGGAUCCAGACUUUGAUUCUGGCUCAGGAGAAACGCUGGCGGCGCACAUAAGACAUGCAAGUCGAACGGAACUUAGUCGAAUGUUUACAUGAGACGAAAGUUUAGUGGCGGACGGGUGAGUAACACGUGAGCAACCUGCCUUUAAGAGGGGGAUAACAUUGAGAAAUCAGUGCUAAUACCGCAUAAAGCAUAUCUACCGCAUGAUAAGAUAUGCCAAAGGAGAAAUCCGCUUAAAGAUGGGCUCGCGGCUGAUUAGUUAGUUGGUGGGGUAACGGCCUACCAAGACGAUGAUCAGUAGCCGAGCUGAGAGGCACAACGGCCACAUUGGGACUGAGACACGGCCCAGACUCCUACGGGAGGCAGCAGUCGGGAAUAUUGCACAAUGGGGGAAACCCUGAUGCAGUGACGCCGCGUAUAGGAAGAAGGUCUUUGGAUUGUAAACUAUUGUCGACAGGGAAGAAAAAAAUGACAGUACCUGUGGAGGAAGCCCCGGCAAACUACGUGCCAGCAGCCGCGGUAAUACGUAGGGGGCGAGCGCUAUCCGGAUUUAUUGGGUGUAAAGGGUGCGUAGACGGUUAUGCAAGUUGGUUGUGAAAUCCCGGAGCUCAACUUCGGAACUGCAACCAAAACUGUAAAACUUGAGUGCGGGAGAGGAAAGCGAAAUUCCUAGUGUAGCGGUGAAAUGCGUAGAUAUUAGGAGGAACACCAGUGGCGAAGGCGGCUUUCUGGACCGUAACUGACGUUGAGGCACGAAAGUGUGGGGAGCAAACAGGAUUAGAUACCCUGGUAGUCCACACCGUAAACGAUGGAUACUAGGUGUAGGGAGGGUUAAACCUUUCUGUGCCGUCGUAAACACAAUAAGUAUCCCACCUGAGUAGUACGACCGCAAGGUUACAACUCAAAUGAAUUGACGGA
rnacentral:rRNA from 1 species